AUUGAACGCUGGCGGCAGGCCUAACACAUGCAAGUCGAACGAGUGGCGGACGGGUGAGUAAUGUCUGGGAAACUGCCCGAUGGAGGGGGAUAACUACUGGAAACGGUAGCUAAUCCCGCAUACCAUCGGAUGUGCCCAGAUGGGAUUAGCUUGUAGGUGAGGUAACGGCUCACCUAGGCGACGAUCCCUAGCUGGUCUGAGAGGCUGACCAGCAAGACGGGAACUGAGACACGGUCCAGACGCGUACGGGAGGGAGCAGGGGGGGAUAUGGCAAAAUGGGCGCAAGCCUGAUGCAGCCAUGCCGGUGGGAUGAAGAAGGCCGUCGGGUUGUAAAGUACUUUCAGCGGGGAGGCGGUACCCGAAGAAGAAGCACCGGCGAACUCCGGGCCAGCAGCCGCGGUAAUAC
rnacentral:rRNA from 1 species